UCUGUAGAUCUGUAUUUAUACAUCUCCAUCACCGCCUGUAGGUCUGCUUGGUAACGUGAAAGAGACGUUCGUCCAGUGCCUGAAAUACCCUUCACAGUGUGUUCCCAUUACAAGGGCUUGGGAAUAGUCACCUGAAGAGCCUGAGCUGAGACCACAUCUUGAAAACACAGAAUUGAGGGAGCAGAUGGAAGAAAGAAAGUCAGCAGGCUUGGAGGAUGAUGAUAACCCCAAGAAGAUUAAGGUGCUGGUGGAGGAGGUGGUUGGCAAAGGAGGUGAGAAUAAGGACAAGUUGAGUUCAGAGAAAUCAAGGGACACUGAGGAAUGAGUACAGCAUCCUCCACUCCUCAAGGAGCAACCUAAGCUGAGCAGUGAGGACUGGGAGAGUAACUUACUCCACAG
rnacentral:lncRNA from 1 species